rnacentral:rRNA from 1 species
GACAAACGCUGGCGGCGUGCCUAAUACAUGCAAGUCGAACGACGAAAGCCUUCGGGCAAGUAAGAGUGGCGCACGGGCGAGGAACACGUAGAUAAUCUGCCCUUCAGUGGGGAAUAACUCUCCGAAAGGAGUGCUAAUCCCGCAUAAGACCACAAGCUCUGCGGAGCAAGGGGUUAAAGGAUUUAUUCGCUGAAGGAUGAGUCUACGUCCGAUUAGCUAGUUGGUGAGGUAAUGGCUUACCAAGGCAAUGAUCGGUAGAUGGUCUGAGAGGAUGAUCAUCCGCACUGGAACUGAGACACGGUCCAGACUCCUACGGGAGGCAGCAGUAGGGAAUAUUGCACAAUGGGGGAAACCCUGAUGCAGCAACGCCGCGUGAGUGAUGAAGGCUCUAGGGUCGUAAAGCUCUGUCGUAUGGGAAGAAAAAAAUGACGGUACUAUACAAGAAAGGACCGGCCAACUUCGUGCCAGCAGCCGCGGUAA